GUUGCCCCUCCAGGCGUUGCAAGCACGGCUGCUGUGCGGUGCUUGUGUCACGAGGAGGCAGAGAGGAACUGGCUGUGUCUACGCUCAGUGCCCGACAUGUGGGCACUUNGAAUGAUUAGCAGCCUAACAGGA
ensembl:snoRNA